rnacentral:rRNA from 1 species
AGUGAACGCUGGCGGUAGGCCUAACACAUGCAAGUCGAACGGCAGCACAGUAAGAGCUUGCGCUGACGGGUGGCGAGUGGCGGACGGGUGAGGAAUACAUCGGAAUCUACUUUUUCGGGGGGGAUAACGUAGGGAAACUUACGCUAAUACCGCAUACGACCUACGGGUGAAAGCAGGGGAUCUUCGGACCUUGCGCGAUUGAAUGAGCCGAUGUCGGAUUAGCUAGUUGGCGGGGUAAAGGCCCACCAAGGCGACGAUCCGUAGCUGGUCUGAGAGGAUGAUCAGCCACACUGGAACUGAGCCACGGUCCGGACUCCUACGGGAGGCAGCAGUGGGGAAUAUUGGACAAUGGGCGCAAGCCUGAUCCAGCCGUACCGCGUGGGUGACGACGGCCUUCGGGUUGUAAAGCCCUUUUGUUGGGAAAGAACAGCAGCAGGUUAAUACCCCGCUGUUCUGACGGUACCCAAAGAAUAAGCACCGGCUAACUUCGUG